AGCACUUAUAUGUGUCUUUGUUGAACUGACAAAGACAGGUGCAAAAAUAAAUUCUCUUUUGCAACCCAGAGCUCAUUGUUAAGUAUGAGUUUUGAUACAUAUAAGAAAGAAUAAG
rnacentral:snoRNA from 1 species